GACGAACGCUGGCGGCGUGCUUAACACAUGCAAGUCGAGCGGUAAGGCCCUUUCGGGGGUACACGAGCGGCGAACGGGUGAGUAACACGUGGGUGACCUGCCCUCAGCUCUGGGAUAAGCCCGGGAAACUAGGGUCUAAUACCGGAUAUGACUCCACGGUGCAUGUCGUGGGGUGGAAAGACCUUGUGCGGCUGAGGAUGGGCCCGCGGCCUAUCAGCUUGUUGGUGGGGUGAUGGCCUACCAAGGCGACGACGGGUAGCCGGCCUGAGAGGGCGACCGG
rnacentral:rRNA from 1 species